rnacentral:rRNA from 1 species
AAACGAUAGCUAAUACCGCAUAACAAUGGAUGACACAUGUCAUUUAUUUGAAAGGGGCAAUUGCUCCACUACAAGAUGGACAUGCGUUGUAUUAGCUAGUAGGUGAGGUAAUGGCUCACCUAGGCGACGAUACAUAGCCGACGUGAGAGGGUGAUCGGCCACACUGGGACUGAGACACGGCCCAGACUCCUACGGGAGGCAGCAGUAGGGAAUCUUCGGCAAUGGGGGCAACCCUGACCGAGCAACGCCGCGUGAGUGAAGAAGGUUUUCGGAUCGUAAAGCUCUGUUGUAAGUCAAGAACGGGUGUGAGAGUGGAAAGUUCACACUGUGACGGUAGCUUACCAGAAAGGGACGGCUAACUACGUGCCAGCAGCCGCGGUAAUACGUAGGUCCCGAGCGUUGUCCGGAUUUAUUGGGCGUAAAGCGAGCGCAGGCGGUUUGAUAAGUCUGAAGUUAAAGGCUGUGGCUCAACCAUAGUUCGCUUUGGAAACUGUCAAACUUGAGUGCAGAAGGGGAGAGUGGAAUUCCAUGUGUAGCGGUGAAAUGCGUAGAUAUAUGGAGGAACACCGGUGGCGAAAGCGGCUCUCUGGUCUGUAACUGACGCUGAGGCUCGAAAGCGUGGGGAGCGAACAGGAUUAGAUACCCUGGUAGUCCACGCCGUAAACGAUGAGUGCUAGGUGUUGGAUCCUUUCCGGGAUUCAGUGCCGCAGCUAACGCAUUAAGC